GACGAACGCUGGCGGCGUGCCUAAUACAUGCAAGUCGAACGAGUGGCGGACGGGUGAGUAAUGUCUGGGAAACUGCUUGAUGGAGGGGGAUAACUACUGGAAACGGUAGCUAAUACCGCAUACCAUCAGAUGUGCCCAGAGGGGAUUAGCUAGUUGGUGGGGUAACGGCUAACCAAGGAGACGGUCCCUAGCUGGUCUCAGAGGUUGACCGGCAACACUGGAACGGAGACACGGUCCAGACUCCUACGGUAGGCAGCAGUGGGGAAUAUUGCACAAUGGGCGCAGGCCUGAUGCAGCAAGGCCGCGUGUGUGAGAAAGGCCUUCGGGUUGUAAAGUACUUUCAGCGGGGAGGCGGUACCCAAAGAGGAAGCACCGGCUAACUCCGUGCCAGCAGCCGCGGUAAUAC
rnacentral:rRNA from 1 species